UCUCCGCCACCGCCGGCUAGCCAAGCUUUGUUACGAAAACAAAUAGACCUACACACAAACAACAGGAAGCCCAACCUGCAGCAUCUGGGCGAGGGACUGAGCAGUGCCCUUUAGGAAGCUGCCAACCUGUCCAGCUCGGUCCGUGUAUCUCAGAGGAGGAGACCACACACAUCUGGCCAGAGGUCAGCCUGCAGCUCGAGCCCACAGAGAAACAUGUCAGCCGGGAAGGGGCGAGAAGCGGGAUUUCGGAUAACUCGGGAGACUGGUGGAAAAGUAGGAAAAGUGGCAGUAAGGAGCAACGGAAAGGGAGGAGAGGUCAGAGGCCCCGGGGCGCCCACACCGCGGACCGGGAAUAAAGGAAGAGCGCCCCUCCUCCAUUCCGUGAGGAUCGGGGCAGGGGCGCUGCCCGCUUCGCCGGGGUGUGGCCCAGGGCGCUGAGAAGUGGACAGCUAGCAGCCGCCGGCGCCCGGAACACCGCGCGAGCCCCGACAGCCGACUGGGGGCUUCCCCAGGCGCCAGAUUAACAGCCAUCCAAGGAAUGGGAACAGGGGCCUGACUCAGUGUGGUCCCUGGAGUGAACAGAAGGCAAUGUUGAAGCUCUCCACCAGGUCUAUGAUGCUGAGGCUUUAGGGGGUCGGAAGGAGCCUGAGUUACUGAAUCACUGAGUAGAGGAAAACCACCUGCAAACUAGGCCCAGCUUCACUGGAACAGUUAUGUAGGUGAGAAAGAAAACUGGAAUUUGGGGGUUUACCUGUUACCACAUAACCCUAACAGAUAGAAUGGCAUUCUUUUGUGUGCCAGAAAUUUUGGUAGCAUGCUCAUGAAGUCAGGAGUUGAAGAAUUACACUGUUACACUGAUCACACAUCAGCAUGGUGGCAUGUUUUCGUGGAACUGGCUCUCCUCCCUGAGAAUCUCUUGGGUCCUCAGAAGGCAUGGUGCUCCCAGGUCUGGCAAAAACGUACACCUUUUUUGUCUCUUCCUGUGCAUCAAGUUGUGCCUGUAGCUCACAGAAACUAUGUGCAGCCUAGCUCUGUUUGCAGGGAAACUCUGUUACUGUUGUGAAUCAUAAUUGUAGCAAAAGAAAAUUUGACCUGUCAGUGAGGGAGCCCUGGUAAGGAGUCACCGCAGUCCGUGGUACUUCAGUUGAAAAGCACGGAUUUACAGUUGUCUGGUCAAGACUGGUUGAUGGCAAUCCAGAAAACAAAACGAAACAACCACCACCCAAGUGUGGUACACUGUAAAUAGGGCAAAGCAUUAUUAAACCUUUCCCAUAUUUUUUGAACAUUUAGGUUGUUACCAGUUUUUUUUUUUUUUACUGCCAUACAUUAUAAUGAUAUACAAUAGGACUACUUUUGAAUAAACACCUUUGCCCAUCUGUUUAUUUGCUUGUAUAGAUUUCUCUCA